rnacentral:misc_RNA from 1 species
GUCUAAUUAAACAGAAGAACAAUACAUUGGCUUAGACCACAGGUUUACAUAGUAACAAGUACUCUGUUUGUGAUCCUCAAGCACACCCUACUGAACAUGACAUGAUUUUCCAAAGAUAACCAAUGUUGAAGCCCCAAUUUUCUCUUCUGAUAAGACAGCAUCAUCAAUAGCAACCAGCAAAGUUAUGACUAGUAAAUGAUGCCUUGGUACUGAAGUUUUAAGUUGGGUUUGCUUGAGCCAAUCAAGCAGUAAUCUGCUCCAUCAGCACUAUAAUGUUUAUUCACAAAGCAAUACGAUAAUCAGGAAUACAACAAAAUAAUAACCAAUUUGCAAUCUUCUCAGUCCUCAGGCUUCAGAUAGAUAGCAUAAAUUGCACCCAACUUAUGCAUUCACAUGGUAGUAAUUGAUUAUAAUAAAAUAAUACUCAGUGCAUGCCAAAGUUAAAUAAAGGACUCACUCAUGCACAUGGUUUUGAA